rnacentral:tRNA from 1 species
AGUUAAUUAGCUUAAUAUAAAGCCUAUAUUUUGAAAAUAUAAGAAAAAGGAUUUACCCUUUAUUAACUU